CUCACCAAACAGCCUGAGUCAGGCCUCUCCGGCUCCUCCUUGGCCUGCAGCCCGGGGUGGACAUCUCCUUGGAUCGCGGGAGGCACCAACGCUGUCAUCGUCCGCAGAACCACAAGGCCUGCUUUCUCAUAAACAAGUCUUACUCCUGCGAAGGAGUUUCACAGGCAUCUUCCUCCUGCCCGCGAGGUGAUGGCACGUGCGGAGGAGGCCACGUCCCCCAGAGCCCUGCUCAGGCUGCAGGCCGCUCCCUGACGAGUCAGUGUGUGUGUGUGGGGGGGGGGGGGGGGGGGUGUCGGCCUCCCUGGCGCUCAGCACCCAGUCCAUUGGCCGUGACUCUGACCAGUACGAGGCUGGGCAGAUGGACUCGACUCGGAGCCCCGCUCCUGGGUAGUGGGGUUCCCAGGACACCCCCACGCCCAACUGCCACUCUCCUAACUGCCGUCGGAACUCUGCUCUGUCCUGGGGUGAGCGCUGGCCGGGGAGCCCGAAAGCGUUUGGAGGGCCAGGAUGUCGGGGGAAGAAACCCACUUGGCUAUCUGAGCAUCAUUGGGUGUGAAGACGCUGGGUGUGAAGACGCUCCGCAGAGGAGCUCCAGACUUGGGAAAUGGACUUGGAGGUCAGCGAGCCAGUAGACUUCAGUACCGGAGAUCACCAGCAUCUGGUCCGGAAAGCAGGAGACAAUAGCACCCAGCCCGAAUCUAAAGAGACCAAGGCAACACCACCUUCACCUGAGCUCAAGCAAACACAUGGGAAACCAAAGCCAAAGACCAACCAGCGAGCUGAUUUCUACGUGGUGGAAAUUUCAGAUGAGACCACCCCUGAAGAGAGCAAUGCUGAAGCCAGCCCAUUCUCAGAAGCAUCUAUCCGCAGAGGUUUCAUUGUAAAAGUGUUCCUCCUCCUGUCUGCUCAGCUGGUGAUCACUGGGGCCAUCAUCUCUGUAUUUAUUUUCUGGCUAGGUUUAAAAAACUGGGUGCACAAGAAUCCCUGGUUCACCUAUGCAAUCUUCCCCGCAUUCUUCGCGGUGCUCAUCGUGCUCGCCUGCUGUGAGAAUCUCCGCCGUCAGGUGCCUGCGAACUACCUUCUCCUGGGAUUGUUUACAUUUUUGCAAGGUCUGAUGCUGGGAGCCGUGUCAGUUUUCUAUGAGGCCGAUGAGGUGUUAUGGGCCAUAGGGGCAACCGCUCUGGUGACGUUAUCGCUCACUUUAUUUGCUCUCCAAACAAAACGCAUCUCAGCUUGGAGUAGCCCCAGGUGUGGGAAGCACACCUGUGGACAAGCUCUCAGCAGCAUGUCACCUGGGGAGCUUGUUGAACCACAGCUUGCUGGCUCCACCCCCGGACACGCAGAGCCGGAAGGUCAAUCUGCAUCCCAGGUGGUGCCCCUGCUGCUGGGCUGAGGACCACACGAGGUGAUGCAGGACUUCAGAGUACAUUUCCUGGCUGGACUUCACCCUGCUCAAUGAAGUGCUGUUCGUCUUGCUGGUCGUGCUUUUAAUCUACGGAAUCCUCUUAAUCUUCAUACGGUCAUACUGGUUGCAUCUGUUGUAUGCUGCACUCGGAACUGUGCUCUUCUCAUU